rnacentral:rRNA from 1 species
UACGGGGGGGGCAAGCGUUGUUCGGAAUUACUGGGCGUAAAGGGCUCGUAGGCGGCCAACUAAGUCAGACGUGAAAUCCCUCGGCUUAACCGGGGAACUGCGUCUGAUACUGGAUGGCUUGAGGUUGGGAGAGGGAUGCGGAAUUCCAGGUGUAGCGAUGAAAUGCGUAGAUAUCAGGAGGAACACCAGCGGUGUAGACGGCUUUCUGGACCAUUGCUGACGCUGAGACACGAAAGCGUGGGUAGCAAACAGG